rnacentral:rRNA from 1 species
GUUCACAAAAUAUACCUUUAACUUAUUCCACUGUUCGGAAGCUAAGCAGGAUCGGGCCUGGUUCGUACUUGGAUGGGAGAUCACCUAGGAAGACCAGGUGCUGUAGGCG